AUUGAACGCUGGCGGCAGGCUUAACACAUGCAAGUCGAACGAGUGGCGGACGGGUGAGUAAUGCUUGGGAAUCUGGCUUAUGGAGGGGGAUAACGACGGGAACCUGUCGCUAAUACCGCGUACCAUAGGAUGAGCCCAAGUGGGAUUAGGUAGUGGGUGGGGUAAUGGCCUACCACGCCGACGAUCUCUAGCUGGUCUGGGAGGAGGACCAGCCACACCGGAACUGAGACCCGGCCAGGACUCCAACGGAAGGCAGCAGUGGGGAAGAUUGGGAAAUGAGGGCAACCGGCCGAAGACAUGCGGCGUGAAUGAAGAAGGCCUUCGGGUGGAAAAGUUCUUUCGGUGAGGAGGCGUUAAUCACAGAAGAAGCAACGGCUAACUCCGUGCCAGCAGCCGCGGUAAUAC
rnacentral:rRNA from 1 species